AGUUGAAAUGAAGGGUAGUUGUGUAAUGAAUACAUUCGUGUAUUUUGUUAUUCWACUACCCUCCUUCUAAAUUCGAUAUAUGAGUAUUAAUUUACUUGUAUAUGGUUUUAGACGUUUACUGUGAGAAAAUUAGAGUGUUCAAAGCAGGCAUUUGCUUGAAUAUAUUAGCAUGGAAUAAUCAUGUAUGAUUUUCAUGAUGUAUUUGAUUGGUUUGGUUCAUGAGAAUAAGAUUAAAAGGGACAGUUGGGGGUAUUCAUAUUCAAUAGUCAGAGGUGAAAUUCUCGGAUUUAUGGAAGAUGAACAAGUGCGAAA
rnacentral:rRNA from 1 species